ensembl:lincRNA Gm44730 predicted gene 44730
UUAGCACAAGACAUGGGUAAAGCAAAGUCACAGCCUUAAGUUUAAGACUUGUUCUCCACUUUGGAGAAGCUUCAAAUCUAUCAGGGCAUGGAAAUAGUAAUAGUUUGGCCCAGCACGGUCAGAGGCAACAGUGUGCUACCUGCUUGAGAUGAGGAAGGUGUCCUUCCAAGCAGUCCUAAGGCACGAAUUGUGACCUUCUCACCUCUUUUCUGCCACCUCAGCUCAGCACAAAGCCCGGCUUCCAAAAUUAUGGGCCGAGCAACCAAGAGCUGAAGUCAUUGGCUGUUUGGAACCAUGGUUGUGUUGCAUGCUGGAGUUAAGAAAAGUCCAUCGUCUCGGGAGGAUGGACUGCAGAGCAGGUUUUCUUGGGGGACCAGUGGGUAAGAACAAACAGAACUCAUCUGCUUUCCCUGAGCACUGAUAAAUAGAAGACAUGGGAUGAGGGUAUCUAACAAAGACCGAAGUCUCAGGGUCACUAAAGAUAGGCAAAGCAAAUCAAGGCCAAUAAGACCUGAACAGAAAGCAUGCCGGGAAGGAAAGUCUUCAUAAAGCUGACAAUUUGUUUUGAAAUCUGAAGGCAGAGCAAAUUGCAAGCAGCAGCCUGACAUUUUCUGCAAAUAGGAAAGAAGAGAUGAGCCUUGCAAGGAAGAACAGGGCAGGGUCAAGUGUCUGCCUCUUCUAGAAAGACAGACAGUGCAAGAACCUCUUAUCCAUGG